ACGUCUACAUUAGAUACCCGCGUAGUCCCAGCCGUAAACUAUGCGCGUUAGGUGUAUCGGUGACCACGAGUCACCGAGGUGCCGAAGGGAAACCGUGAAACGUGCCGCCUGGGAAGUACGGUCGCAAGGCUGAAACUUAAAGGAAUUGGCGGGGAGCACCACAACAGGUGGAGCCUGCGGUUUAAUUGGACUCAACGCCGGGAAGCUCACCGGAUAGGACAGCAAAAUGAUUGCCGGGCUGAAGACCCUGCAUGACUAGCUG
rnacentral:rRNA from 1 species